rnacentral:rRNA from 1 species
UACGGGGGGGCAAGCGUUGUUCGGAAUUACUGGGCGUAAAGGGCGCGUAGGCGGCCUGCUAAGUCGGAUGUGAAAUCCCUCGGCUCAACCGAGGAACUGCAUCCGAUACUGGCGGGCUUGAAUCCGGGAGAGGGAUGUGGAAUUCCAGGUGUAGCGGUGAAAUGCGUAGAUAUCUGGAGGAACACCGGUGGCGAAGGCGGCAACCUGGUCCUUGACUGACGCUGAGGCGCGAAAGCGUGGGGAGCAAACAGG